rnacentral:rRNA from 1 species
AAAGAUGAUCAGGUUGAUAGGUCUGAGGUGGAAGUGUGGCGACACAUGGAGCUGACAGAUACUAAUCGAUCGAGGACUUAACCCA